CAAGUUAAUUGCUCAAGGGGGGAAAGCCGCUAUAUGCGGAAAGUACCUCUUCAAUUGGGCAGUUAAAACG
rfam:Hepatitis C virus genotype 6 isolate ZS202 polyprotein gene, complete cds